rnacentral:lncRNA from 1 species
AAAUACAAAAAAUUAGCUGGGCAUGGUGGCGGGCACCUGUAGUCCCAGCUACUCAGGAAACUGAGGCAGGAGAAUGGCGUGAACCCGGGAGGUGGAGCUUGCACGGAGCCGAGAUCGCACCACUGCACUCUAGCCUGGGCGACAGAGCGAAACUCUGUCUCAAAAAAAAAAAAAAAGAGUGAAACUCCGUCUCAAAAAAAUAAUUAAUUACAAAUAAAUUUUUAAAAAUUAAACAGUAAAAACUCAAGUAAAGUCACGUGGAACUGCCAAUCAAAGCUUUGGAUCAGUGGAAGAAAAUCCAUUGCUCCCACACUGAAUGGAUAUAAAGCUUAGCCAAAAACAAAGAUACUUAACAUGGUCAUGAACCUCUGCUGCCUUGUUUUGGGUAAACACGUCAUUUCUGUCCAGGUGUCUGAAAUACCAAGGAUGAUACAGCUAAUACUUAACUGCUAAUACUAAAACAGCUAAUACUUAAACUGCACUUACUUUGUGUCAGGAAUUCCAUUUUUUUGUUUUUUUUGAGACGGAGAUCUGUCUCCCAGGCUGGAAUGCAGUGGCGCGAUCUCGGCUCAUUGCAACCUCCGCCUCCCGGGUUCAAGUGAUUCUCCUGCCUCAGCCUCCCGAGUACCUGGGAUUACAGGCACGUGCCACCAUGCCCGGCUGAUUUUUGUAUUUUUAGUAAAGACAGGAUUUCACCAUGUUGGCCAGGCUGGUCUCGAACUCCUGACCACAGGUGAUAUACCCCCCACUCAUCCUCCCAAAGUGCCAAGACUACAAGCAUGAGCCACUAUGCCCGGCCUGUGUCAGGAACUUCUAAGUGAGAUAUAUAAUGAUAUAUAACUCAUAUGAUAUCUAUCAUUUGCUACAUACAGAGUAUGUACACACGUAUGUAUUUAUAACAUACAUAUCCAUUUAGUCCUCAAGAAAACUCUAUCAGGCAAAUGCCAUUAUUAUCGCCAAUUACUAUAAUGCCCAGGGGAGGAAACUGAGGCACAGAAGGGUCAUUAUUAUUUUUGCCAAGACCCUCAUACUUAUGACUUGGAAGGGCUGGGAUUUGAAACCAUACAACCUGGACCUCCAGUACUUGGGCCUCACCACUAUGCUAGACUUUGGGACUUCUAGCAGAUAGAAGAAGUCCAUCCAAACCUUCAGUUUACAGGAUCACCCACAUGGCCCAGAGAGGAUUAGCAAAUGCCCUCAGGUCACACAGCAGAUUUGGGUGCUUCUCCUACCAGCCCACAUUGCCUCCUAAGGUAUGUUUAACAUCUUUAAUGUCUAUGGGGGAAGGGCCCUAAACGUUUCUGAAGAAACCCACUCCUCCCUGCAAGCAGCGCUGUGUGCUCCACCCCCAGCCAGCACCAAAGCAUAUGUGAAUACCUGCAGGGACUGAUGCCAGCUGCAUUUGGGCCCCAGUUGGGCAUGGCCCUCACCAGAGAGCAGUCCCUGUUGUCCCUGGUGCUUGUCACAGCACCAGUUAGUGCAUUGAGAGUAUGGUUCAUGGAGGAGAAAAUAUUUUCCCAGCCGGGCAUGGUGGCUCCCACCUGUAAUCCCAGCACUUUGGGAGGCCAAGGCAGGUGGAUCACUUGAGGUCAGGAAUUCAAGACCAGCCUGGCCAACACAGUGAAACCGCAUCUCUACAAAAAUACAAAAAUACAAAAAUUAUCCGAGCAUGAUGGCAGGUGAAACCCCCGUCUCUACGAAAAAUACAAAAAAUUAGCCAGGCGUGGUGGCGCGUGCCUGUAAGUCCUAACUACUCGGCAGGCAAAGGUGGGAGAAUCUCCUGAGCCAGGGAGAUAGAGGCUGCAGUGAGCCAAGCCACUGCACUCCAGUCUGGGCAACUGGAGUGAGAGAGACCCUGUCUCAAAAAAAAAAAAAAAAAAAAGUAAUACACAUGGCCAGCCGCAGUGGCUCACGCCUGUAAUCCCAGCACUUUGGGAGGCCGAGGCUGGCAGAUCACCUGAGGUCAGGAGUUCAACACCAGCCUGGCCAACAUGGUGAAACCCCUCUCUACUAAAAAUACAAAAAUUAGCCAGGCGUGGUGGCAAGUAGUGCCUGUAAUCCCAGCUACUUGGGAGGCUGAGGCACGAGAAUCACUUGAACCAGGAGGCGGAGGUUGCAGUGAGCCGAGAUCGUGCCACUGCACUCCAGCCUGGGCGACAGAGUGAGACGCAGUCUCAAAAAAAAAAAAAAAAAAAGACACGCUUAUUGUUUAUAAACUAAAACAGUAUAGAAGUGUAUAAACUAGGCUGGGCGCGGUGGCUCACGCUUGUAAUCUCAGCACUUUGGGAGGCCGAGGCAGGCGGAUCACGAGGUCAGGAGAUCGAGACCACGGUGAAACCCUGUCUCUACUAAAAAUACAAAAAAUUAGCCGGGCGUGGUGGUGGGCGCCUGUAGUCCCAGCUACUCGGAGAGGUUGAGGCAGGAGAACGGCGUGAACCCGGGAGGCGGAGCUUGCAGUGAGCCGAGAUUGCGCCACUGCACUCCAGCCUGGGCGACAGAGUAAGACUCUGUCUCAAAAAAAAAAACAAAAAAAAAACCAAACAAACAAACAAAAAGAAGUGUAUAAAGUAAAAAAUAACAGUGCACUGUGACCCAAAUCCAUUUCUCAGAGAAAAUCAUUACUAUGAACAUGGAGUGUCCACACAUGUACACGCACUCACGGGCCACUUCACCAGCUUGGAGAACAACCCUAGCCACAGUGCUUGCGGUUGCUUUUUUAACCAAUCUCUCCUGCAUCCUCAUUCAUUUAUUGUUAAGAAGCCCAGCAUCUCCCUCUUGAGGUCUCUUCCAGAAUAGUCUGGGAAUCCCAAGGACUCACUCUGUCCAAAGAAGGCCAGUCCUACUCUGCAAGGCCUAGUGGUGCACUGCGUGGGCCCCGAGGCAGUCCUCUCAGUUCACUCCAGGAGCUCAGCUCCCUGAAAGGAAAAUGAUGCCAAGCCAGGCGCAGUGGCUCACACCUUUAAUCUUAGCAAUUUGGGAGGCUGAGGCAGGUGGAUCACUUGAGGUCAGAAGUUCAAGACCAGCCUGGCCAAUAUGGUGAAACCCCAUCUCUACUAAAAAUACAAAACUUAGGCCGGGCACAGUGGCUCACACCUGUAAUCCCAGCACUUUGGGAGGCCGACGUGG